rnacentral:rRNA from 1 species
AGUGNACCGGUUAAAAUGGGUANAAAUNUGGAGNAAUACCGAUGNCGAAGGCAGCCAUUUGGCUUAAUACUGACGUUGAGGUACGAAAGCAUGGGAGCAACCAGGAUNAGAUACCUUGGUAGUCCAUNCNGUAAACGAUGUUUACUAGCCGUUGGGGCNUUUGAGGCUUUAGUGGCGCAGCUAACGCGAUAAGUAGACCGCCUGGGGAGUACGGUCGCAAGACUAAAACUCAAAUGAAUUGACGGGGGCCCGCACAAGCGGUGGAGCAUGUGGUUUAAUUCGAUGCAACGCGAAGAACCUUACCUGGCCUUGACAUACUAGAAACUUUCCAGAGAUGGAUUGGUGCCUUCGGGAAUCUAGAUACAGGUGCUGCAUGGCUGUCGUCAGCUCGUGUCGUGAGAUGUUGGGUUAAGUCCCGCAACGAGCGCAACCCUUUUCCUUACUUGCCAGCAUUUCGGAUGGGAACUUUAAGGAUACUGCCAGUGACAAACUGGAGGAAGGCGGGGACGACGUCAAGUCAUCAUGGCCCUUACGGCCAGGGCUACACACGUGCUACAAUGGUCGGUACAAAGGGUUGCUACACAGCGAUGUGAUGCUAAUCUCAAAAAGCCGAUCGUAGUCCGGAUUGGAGUCUGCAA